CGGGUGCUGACGCUUAAUAGAGAAACAGGUUCAAAGCCUGUGCUGUCCCGCAGCUGUAAUGCCGAGCCGCGUUCUAUAGCCACUGGGAAACUGGGAAGGAGGAACGCAGCCAUGACGCAGAGCCAGAAGAACUGCCCGAUAUGUU
rnacentral:ncRNA from 1 species